ACACAUGCAAGUCGAGGGGCAGCGGAGAGGUAGCAAUACCUCUGUCGGCGACCGGCGCACGGGUGAGUAACACGUAUGCAAUCCACCUGUAACAGGGGGAUAACCCGGAGAAAUCCGGACUAAUACCCCAUAAUAUGGGCUCUCCGCAUGGAGGGCUCAUUAAAGAAAGCAAUUUUGGUUACAGACGAGCAUGCGCUCCAUUAGCCAGUUGGCGGGGUAACGGCCCACCAAAGCGACGAUGGAUAGGGGUUCUGAGAGGAAGGUCCCCCACAUUGGAACUGAGACACGGUCCAAACUCCUACGGGAGGCAGCAGUGAGGAAUAUUGGUCAAUGGUCGGCAGACUGAACCAGCCAAGUCGCGUGAGGGAAGACGGCCCUACGGGUUGUAAACCUCUUUUGUCGGAGAGUAAAGUACGCUACGUGUAGCGUAUUGCAAGUAUCCGAAGAAAAAGCAUCGGCUAACUCCGUGCCAGCAGCCGCGGUAAUACGGAGGAUGCAAGCGUUAUCCGGAUUUAUUGGGUUUAAAGGGUGCGUAGGCGGCACGCCAAGUCAGCGGUGAAAUUUCCGGGCUCAACCCGGACUGUGCCGUUGAAACUGGCGAGCUAGAGUGCACAA
rnacentral:rRNA from 1 species